UCUCUGGUGGCUCAGAUGGUAAAGCAUCUGCCUACAAUGCAGGAGACCCGGGUUCAAUCCCUGGGUUGGGAA
rnacentral:tRNA from 1 species